rnacentral:rRNA from 1 species
GACGAACGCUGGCGGCGGGCUUAACACAUGCAAGUCGAACGGAAAGGCCCUGCUUGUGUGGGGUGCUCGAUUGGCGAACGGGUGAGUAACACGUGAGUAACCUGCUCUUGAUUUUGGGAUAGCUUCAGGAAACUGGGGCUAAGACCGUAUAGGAGCUCCUGCUGCAUUGUGGGGAGGGGAAAUUUUCGGCGGUUGGGGAUGGACGCGCGGCUGAUCAGUUUGUUGGUGGGGGAGUGGCAUGCCAAGGAUUUGGAGGGUAGCCGGCCUGAGAGGGUGAACGGCCACAUUGCGCCUGAGAUACGGACCAGUCUGCAACAGGAGGCAGCAGUCGGGAAUCUUACCCAAUGGGCGGACGUCUGAUGCAGAGACGCCGCGUGCGGGAUGACGGCCUUCGGGUUGUAAACAGCUUCCGCCUGUGACGCAGCGUGACUGACGGUACUGAGUAAAGAAGCACCGGCUAACUACGUG